rnacentral:rRNA from 1 species
UACGGAGGGUGCGAGCGUUGUCCGGAAUCAUUGGGCGUAAAGGGCGCGUAGGUGGCCCGGUCAGUUCGUGGUGAAAGCGCGGGGCUCAACCCUGCGUCGGCCAUGAAUACUGCCGCGGCUGGAGCACUGUAGAGGCAGGCGGAAUUCCGGGUGUAGCGGUGGAAUGCGUAGAGAUCCGGAAGAACACCGGUGGCGAAGGCGGCCUGGACUGGGCCAGUUGCUGGACACUGAGGCGCGACAGCGUGGG